rnacentral:rRNA from 1 species
AACGAACGCUGGCGGCAUGCCUAACACAUGCAAGUCGAACGAGACCUUCGGGUCUAGUGGCGCACGUGUGCGUAACGCGUGGGAACCUGCCCUUAGGUUCGGAAUAACUCCCCGAAAGGGGUGCUAAUACCGGUUAAUGUCUUCCGACCAAAGAUUUAUCGCCUUUGGAUGGGGCCGCGUUGGAUUAGCUAGUUGGUAGGGUAAAAGCCUACCAAGGCGACGAUCCAUAGCUGGUCUGAGAGGAUGAUAAGCCACACUGGGACUGAGACACGGCCCAGACUGCUACGGGAGGCAGCAGUGGGGAAUAUUGGACAAUGGGCGAAAGCCUGAUCCAGCAAUGCCGCGUGAGUGAUGAAGGCCGUAGGGUUGUAAAGCUCUUUUACACGGGAUGAUAAUGACAGUAACGGGAGAAUAAGCUCCGGCUAACUCCGUG